CCUCUGAGUUUUAUGGGUAUUAUGACUCACACUGUGGUACUCUAUAGUCCACUCAGUAACAGUAAAAGGGCUCUCCAAACCUUUUCCUGGAGAGAUACCCUUCUGUAGGUCUUCGCUCCAACCCCAGUUGUAACUAAGCCGAUUCAGCUUAUCAACCAGCUAAUUAUUAGAAUCACGUGUACUAGAUUAGGGAGGCUGCAGUUCUGCAGCUGUGAGCUGGAACCUGGGGCAGACUAUAUUCAACCUGUUUGAAAAUGAUCAGGACACCACAAGUCCCCGUGAGAGCCAACAACCUCAAAUCGGUAUGUGCUUACACUUUACGAGCUGCGGCGUUACAUUUUACUCCGGGUUUGCUCCGAUUUCCUCCGACUUGGAAAAAUACGCCAAGAGCUGAUCGGGAGCCAUAGAUCGGAAGUACCGGGAAGUCGGGAAUGAACGAGUUCAGACUGGGAAAAUACGUUUUGAAAGGUCAUCCAACUCGGAAUUCUAAAUCUUUCUCUUUGAUGACAACAUUUAUCAACAAAGAAUUGCUGCGCCACCCUGUUCAAGUGAGCACAUCACAACAAGGUCACAGAUGGUACCAGAUAUGUGACUGGUAGCAGGCUUGCUGACGGAGAACAAAUGAAGUUUGUGGUCUUACCUACAAAAGUUUGGGAAGAUCACAAAAGAGAUGACACCAGCUCAUCGUGUUGACACCCUCAUUGAGUCCCUCCUCUAUUACUAAGCCAGGGUCAGGGCAAGCGCUGGAAACACAACUCUGGCGGCAGAAAGUCCUGAAGCAGGAAACCGAGGCAAAGGAGGAGUUGAUGGUGCUGCUAGGCAGCAUUCCAGGUUAGAUUCUAUGUGUUUUGCUCAUAUCUUUUGUUUAUAUGUAACGAUCUCUUUCUCCCAAUUCAAUCAGUUGAAUAUGUCAUAGGCAGCACACUGUCGGACGUAGACGUUUGAACCCGUCAGAUAAAGGAGACCCUCACAGGCAAGAGGAUGUUGUCCCUGAUACGUGGAAACUCUCGCCCAGCAAGUAGUUGCUACAUCGCUGACCUAAGGUUUUAUCCCAGUCUAUAGACACCCCUUUCUGUCUGACUUAGCCCUGCCAUUCAUGACAGACACGUUCCUAUAGCCUACUGUGCGCUGUGUCCUGGUCCCAUCAUCUCCUGGAUCUGCAUAGCUACUCCCUGUUGCUUUAUACUCUGAUCACCACCUCAUGCUAUCACCUGCCAUUUUCCACUACAUAUCCCAGAAACUUAAGUGCCCCCUCCCCUGCUUAGUAAUUUUUACACUUGUACCUGUAUACAGGUUGAAAAUAGCAGAUUUGGGCACUAAUAAGAGCCUAAAUUGUAACGUAGUGGCUAUACAGUAACAUGCUAUAUAUGAUGUCAGAGCUCAGGCUCUGUGAUUCACAGCUCUGUAUGGGUUUUGACUGACAGUCGUUCUGAACUUGAGCACUGCACGCGGCAAGCAGUUCCCCCCCCCCCUGUAAAUUAGGCAACUUUUGUACAUUUCUUGUUGUCUGAGUGGGGGAAAUGCUUUAAAUGAAAAUGACUCGAUGUAUUUUGAAAGAAAAGACGUGGAGGAUAUAAUAAAUACCACUUCAUACAAGCAUGCCAAACACCCGUGAGUCCAAAAUUGCACUUCACAUUUCCAAAUCUUAAAACUCAUGUCAUAUACAGUGUCAAGAUGACAUGGCAUCAUACCCUGGGUGGUUCUGAACAAAAUUAACCUACGUUUGUUUAUUGUGAAGGAAAUUCGCUGUGGCACACGCACCUGCCACUCAUGACUCCUUUCGAUGCGCGGAAAUACAACUAUGUUGUAUUUCUGUGUUUGGCCGAGUAUGGUUCUCAAUCAGAGGCAGCCGUCAAUCGUUGUCU